rnacentral:rRNA from 1 species
GACGAACGCUGGCGGCGCGCCUAACACGUGCAAGUCGAACGAGCGAGAGAGAGCUUGCUUUCUCAAGCGAGUGGCGAACGGGUGAGUAACGCGUGAGGAACCUGCCUCAAAGAGGGGGACAACAGUUGGAAACGACUGCUAAUACCGCAUAAGCCCACGACCCGGCAUCGGGUAGAGGGAAAAGGAGCAAUCCGCUUUGAGAUGGCCUCGCGUCCGAUUAGCUAGUUGGUGAGGUAACGGCCCACCAAGGCGACGAUCGGUAGCCGGACUGAGAGGUUGAACGGCCACAUUGGGACUGAGACACGGCCCAGACUCCUACGGGAGGCAGCAGUGGGGAAUAUUGCACAAUGGGGGAAACCCUGAUGCAGCGACGCCGCGUGGAGGAAGAAGGUCUUCGGAUUGUAAACUCCUGUUGUUGAGGAAGAUAAUGACGGUACUCAACAAGGAAGUGACGGCUAACUACGUG